AGAAAUUAGUUUUAAAUAUAAUUUUUGUAAUGCCUUGAAAAAAUAUUUUUUUUGUCGAGUACACGUGGCAGCUAGUCUUUGGGCCAAGGUUAAAUGAACAAAAAUAAACUUUUGUAAAAGCUUGACACUCUCAUGUUCUUUCACAACACUUCCUCAUAAAACACAACUCUUCUUUUUUUCUUCUUCAUUGCUCCACUUUCCAUCCAUCCAAACUCAAAUUUUCACCAUUUGUUUCUUGAAUUGAAGCAACCCAAGCCUUUAGGGCUUCAAGAGGAGCAUUUCCACCGAUUGAAUCUUCGUUUCAUCCAACGGGUGAUUCUCAUACUUUGGAGUUUCAAGCAAGUGGUUUAGAGUUCCUAAUUGAGCGUGGCUGUCCACACUAGAGUAGAUGAUGAGGUACCCUUGGAGCAGGCGUGGGAGACUGAGGAAGAUCUAGCCCCUAGUACUUAGGACGUUUAUUAGUUCUUAUUUCAAUAGUUUGUUAAUUUUUGGAAACACUCUCUAGGCAUCCUUCGAUUUUUAGUUUAUUAUGUAUUUUGGAGAACUUUGGGGAACUUGUACUCAAGUCUUAUUUCGUUUUAAUUUCCACUAAAUUUCG